rnacentral:rRNA from 1 species
GACGAACGCUGGCGGCGUGCUUAACACAUGCAAGUCGAACGGAAAGGCCCUGCUUUUGUUGGGUGCUCGAGUGGCGAACGGGUGAGUAACACGUGAGUAACCUGCCCUUGACUUUGGGAUAUCUUCAGGAAACUGGGGCUAAUACCGGAUAGGAGCUCCUGCUGCAUGGUGGGGGUUGGAAAGUUUCGGCGGUUGGGGCUGGACUCGCGGCUUAUCAGCUUGUUGGUGGGGUAGUGGCUUACCAAGGCUUUGACGGGUAGCCGGCCUGAGAGGGUGACCGGCCACAUUGGGACUGAGGUACGGACCAGACUCCUACGGGAGGCAGCAGUGGGGAAUAUUGCACAAUGGGCGGAAGCCUGAUGCAGCAACGCCGCGUGCGUGAUGACGUGCUUCGGGUUGUAAACCGCUUUCGCCUGUGACGAAGCGGGAGUGACGGUAAUGGGUAAAGAAGCACCGGCUAACUACGUG